rnacentral:rRNA from 1 species
UCUGGUGAUUCUACCGGGCGGGAAACACCUGUUCCCAUUUCGAACACAGAAGUUAAGCCGUCCAGGGCCGAUGGUACUUAUCGCUAAUUCGCGGUCGGGAGAGUAGGUCAUUGCCAGGG